UAUGGCCAUAAUAUGUUGAAACACUGAUUUCCGUACAAUCACCAAAGUUAAGCAAUACUGAGCCUUGUCAGUAUCUAGAUGGGUGACUGCUUGGGAAUACCAGGUACUGUAAG